CAGUCGCCGCGGUAAUACCGAGGGUGCGAGCGUUAAUCGGAUUUACUGGGCGUAAAGCGUGCGUAGGCGGCUUCUUAAGUCGGAUGUGAAAUCCCUGAGCUUAACUUAGGAAUUGCAUUCGAUACUGGGAAGCUAGAGUAUGGGAGAGGAUGGUAGAAUUCCAGGUGUAGCGGUGAAAUGCGUAGAGAUCUGGAGGAAUACCGAUGGCGAAGGCAGCCAUCUGGCCUAAUACUGACGCUGAGGUACGAAAGCAUGGGGAGCAAACAGGAUUAGAGACCCCAGUAGUCCCUGUCUCUUAUAA
rnacentral:rRNA from 1 species